rnacentral:tRNA from 1 species
GGCCGGUAGCUCAGUGGUGGAGCAUUUGCCUAGCAUGCAUGAGGUGCUGGGCUCCAUCCCCAGCACCA